CUGGACGAUCCAGUUCUGUCAAAUCCUCUGCCACCUAUCGGAGUACUCCUCACUGCUCCACUGGUCACAGAGGGCCUGUCAUAUGUCUGCCUGCAUCUAGUGAUCUAUGAAGGACCUCCAGUCAGAUGGUGAUUGAGAAUCGAUGUACUGGAUGGCGGACUGUCUAAGACUGUAGAGGCUAUCUCAAAACCUCCUUGUGGCCACCUCCUUAAAGGUCCAAUAGCC
rnacentral:lncRNA from 1 species